rnacentral:lncRNA from 1 species
GUAAUCUCCAGUGUUGGAGGUGGAGCCUGGUGGGAGGUAAUUGGAUCAUGCGGGCAGAUUUCUCAUGAAUGGUUUAGCAGCAUCCCCUUUGUCCUGUCCUUGGAACAAUGAGUUACCUGUCAGAUCUGGUAGUUAAAGAGUGUGUGGCACCUCCCCCUCACUCUCUUCCUCCUGCUACUGCCAUGUGAGAUAUCUGCUCCUACUUUGCCUUCUUCCAAGAUUGGAAGCUUCCUGAGGCCACCCCAGAGUCAGAAGCUGCUAUGCUUCCUGUACAGCUUGCAGAACCCUCCUCCAUUAGCCCCUGCAAAGUAUUCACUGACUGCUGGAACUAGAGCAUCACUGAGAAGCAAGAGAUGGACUGACCUAACUAGAGGGAGAGCUGCCGUCCAGGAUGAUGCCACCAUCAAAGGAGGUGAGAAGGAACACAGCAUCUUCUGCAAAUGCUACAGUAAAUAGGGAUGGGGUGCGGCAAUGUGAGGAAAGUGGAAUGAACUUGGACUUCGAAGGCAAACUAACCUGGAAUCAAAUACUGGCUCUGCUGUUUGCAAGUGUGAUCUUUGGGUGUGCUUCCUAAUCUGUGAGCUUCAACUUCCUCCUCUGUAAACCAAGAUCAAAGACAAACAGUGCAACCUACUUGUCUGGUGCCCAUCCCCUUGGCAGAACACUCCUCUGAAGGAUGACGGUUUGGCUGUGCCAGGGCAGAGGUGCCCACACCAAAUGAGCCUUCAUAGCAACUAUCUGAUGAGGAACUCACUGGCCUACCUUUCCUUAACAGCUGGGGCCUGCCAGCCUUGAAGCAUGACUCCACAAUGCCCCUACCCAAGGCCAUGGAGGUUGCUGCUGAUGAGCAAGCUGUUUUUUAUUUAAUCCAGGUUUCUGCCUGGAGAGGAAGAAGGUAGAGGAGCCAGCGAAGGCAUGUCUGAAUGAUACUUGCAGAAAAAACACUGGUAGCAGUCACAAAACUUUAAAAUUUAAAGUGCCAGCGAGGUGGCUUUUGGUGGCCUGUUGAAAGCUGUUAACCCCAGCUUUUACAAAUGCUGGGCUUUUGAGUAAGAGGAGAGUGUCUUUCUGGAAAAGUUUGAGACCUCUUACCAUUGUAGCAGCAAAAGCAUCCAGGGCUAAUGUUUUCCAAGCUCACUGCUACUUGUUGCAGUCUAGCAGCGUUGUGUCUCCUGAAAUUCCUACCUUUCCUGAUGGAUGUAAAAGAAGUACCAAUUAUUAAGCUCCUAGUAUGUGCCAGAUGCUCCAUAUAUGUUACUUUUGAUCUUCACAACCACUCAGCAACUUACUGCUUCUCCUCACUCCCAAUUACAUAGAUGAUGAAAUUGAAGCAGAGUAGUUUGCCUAGGAUUACAGAGCUAGGAGGGAUGAGAGUUGGGAUUCUCCCUCAGUUCUAAUACACAGUAUGCCGCAUUUCCUAUUGAGUAGUAACAAAGCUUCUAAGAAAUCUGAGUUUUCAUUUGUUAAAACUGAAUUUUUAAGAAAUGUAGACAGGAGCACUAAGUACUCUAGAGUUUAAUGUUAAUAAUGGUGCAAGUAUAUAACCAGUUUCUCAUGCACUGGCAUAACAUACUUCAGAGGGUACACCAGGGCUGGAUGAAUAUGUGAACCCAAAAAUAUCUGAGACAGGUCUCAGUUAACUUAGAAAGUUUAUUUUGCCAAGUUUGAGGACAUGCACCCAUGACACAGCCUCAGGUGGUCUUGAUGACAUGUGCCCAAGGUGGUUAGGGCAAAGCUUUUUUUUAUACACUUUAGAAAGACAGGAGAUAUCAAUCAAUAUAUCUAAGAUGUACAUUGGUUAUGUCCAGAAAGACAGGACAACUUAAGCAGGGAGGGGGCUUCCAGGUCAUACGUAGGUGAGAGAUAAAAUGUUGCAUUCCUUUGAGUUUCUGACUAGCCUUUCCAAAGGAGGCAAUCAAAUAUGCAUUUAUCUCAGUGAGCAGAGAGGUGACUUUGAAUAGAAUGGGAGGCAGGUUUGCCCUAAACAGUUCCCAGCUUGACUUUUCCCUUUAGCUUAGUGAUGUUGGGGCCCCAAGAUUUAUUUUCCUUUCACACUUCUUCCAAUUUCUUUUUAAAAAUCUUUUGAAGAAAGCAUUUUAGAAGAAAAUGAGUCUCUGCUCUCAUGGCUAGGAUAGUUUAUUCAUACAGGGGUAGGUCCCAAGUUAUUAGGAAAGCUCAUUUUUAGCAUGUCCUGUGAAGAGAAAAUAGUAGGAGGAAGGGAGAAAAACAACAAACAAGAGAACAAUACUAGAAAAUCUAUAUAGACCACAUUACUUCGAAGUCCAUACAUCAGUAGGUAGGUAUGAAAGUGGCUUAUGUACCUAAAUAGAUUGCUUUUAUUUUCUUCUGAAGUUUAAGUUGUCUAGAUUCAGUUUGCAGGACUUUAGAAAGUGCAGCUUAGUUUUCAGUUAUUUCAAAUUAGGAAAAAUGGGGUGAGGGGAAGGAAAAGAAGGAAAAAAAUUGAAAACAUUAUUUUGGAGACUUGUAGCCAGGAAAAAUUAGAAUUCAGUCUAAACUGUAGAAAAUAAUAAAAAUAGAAAAACAUUAGGCAAGACUAAAAUCUAACAACAGGUGUACUAUAGUUUUUGAAACGUAUUUUUUCUCUCUCUAGUUUCCCAUUUUUACUAAAGACAAAUCAUAGAAGAACCAAUUUGCUUUAUUAUACUUGGCCAGAUUAUUUGUAUGAAGUGAAGCAAGAAUAAUUAUUUUUCACAUAGGCUUUUAAAAUUAGCUUUGAUGGACUUCUUCCAUAGAAGGAAUCUCAGAUAAGGCUUUUUUAAGCCAAGCCCAGCCACGGAUUUUUACCAUCAAAUACCUAUGAGUUGGGUGAAUUAUUCUCCUUUUGAGUCCCAACAUAACUUAGGGCUCUUGGGCCUGUCAGAAAGUGACAUUCUUUACUCACCACAGGUCAGGAACACUGUUCAGGGACUGUGCAGACAAGGUAUGAGGCCAGUUUCCCCAAGGGGUUUUUAUUGGCUCUGUAAGUCAAGUUUAAUACCUUAAAGGAAAGCACACCAUUCCAGCCAAAGACUCAGUAUAACCAGUUUCUCCAAUUGUAUUCUGUUACAAAUAAAAACAGAUUCUUAUUUCACUUAUGCAAAUAAC